rnacentral:rRNA from 1 species
UACGUAGGGCGCAAGCGUUGUCCGGAAUUAUUGGGCGUAAAGAGCUCGUAGGCGGCUUGUCACGUCGGAUGUGAAAGCCCGAGGCUUAACCUCGGGUCUGCAUUCGAUACGGGCUAGCUAGAGUGUGGUAGGGGAGAUCGGAAUUCCUGGUGUAGCGGUGAAAUGCGCAGAUAUCAGGAGGAACACCGGUGGCGAAGGCGGGUCUCUGGGCAACUACUGACGCUGAGGAGCGAAAGCGUGGGGAGCGAACAGG